CAGUAGCCGCGGUAAUACGUAGGUGGCGAGCGUUGUCCGGAAUCAUUGGGCGUAAAGGGAGCGCAGGCGGGCAUGUAAGUCUUUCUUAAAAGUUCGGGGCUCAACCCGUGAGGGGAUGGAAACUGCUGAUCUAGAGUAUCGGAGAGGAAAGUGGAAUUCCUAGUGUAGCGGUGAAAUGCGUAGAUAUUAGGAAGAACACCAGUGGCGAAGGCGGCUCACUGGCCCGAUACUGACGCUGAGGCACGAAAGCGUGGGGAGCAAACAGGAUUAGAUACCCCCGUAGUCCCUGUCUCUUAUACAC
rnacentral:rRNA from 1 species